AAAGAGGCAGAGAUGCUGGAAAACAUUGCACCUACACCUCAGCCUGAUAUGCUCCUCCCAAUCAAAGGCAAGCUUUCUUUGCUUUUUGUAUUUUCUUUUAUUUGUUACAUAACUCUAAGAUCAAGAAUAAGGUCUUGCUAUUUAAAUUUGCCGAAAUCAUUCUCUUAACAGAUGCAAAUUAGGCCUGUUUCUUUUCUUUUUCCUCAACUUAUUAAUUAAAAAAAAAAAAUUGUAGAGUUUUUGUUGGGAAAUAUUGUUGAAAUGCAUUUAUGAUUUUGCUCAUUAAGGAAUUUUAUGAAACUAAAUUUAGUAAGAAUGAAGCUUUUUCCAUUAGCUUAUCUACUGAGUGCAAAUGAUAAGGAUAAAUAGGGAUUGGUUCAUUAGCUUCAUGUUUUGGUGUACCUUUCUUUAAUUUAAGGUUGUUGUUCAUCUCUCUUUAAUGGGUUUAUGCUCCCUACUUUGUUUUUCUUUGGUACAAUCAUUUGCUUCUUUUGUGCCCUUGCUUUUGCUAGUUAUUUUUACUCUUAUCUGGAACAGCUACUACUGCAACCCUAUUCUUACUUACAGAGGUAUUAAUUUCUUGCUUUAUUCAUGUUGCUCUUCGUUUAAUGUGUUUAUUCUCCAUUUGUUCUUACUAAUCUCCUUCCCUUAGUUUUUCCCCUGCCUUUAAUGCUUUUAUCUAGGGCUGUUUUCGUUGUCACUCUCAAAGCUAAUUCUUGCACUUUGCAACAAUGUUUUCUGAUUUUGAGUUAGUGUUGUUUUAGAAGUAUGAUGGAUAUUUAGUUGGUCUUCCCUCUAUUCAUCAAUGAAUAGGUCUUUUGGUAAUAUUGUUUCAUCUAAUCCUGCCUUGGAACAAAAUGGUGAGUAAGAGGCAAUUAAAAUUUGGUUAACAAACAACAAGUUAAUUUAUAUUAAGUCAUGGAUGCAAAUAUAGAGUUCACUUCAUAUCAAGUAAAGAAAAAGAAUAGCUUACUUGAAAAACAUAUGAUUUGCCUAAGCUUUUUCCUUUAUGCUUUGUGU
rnacentral:misc_RNA from 1 species